rnacentral:rRNA from 1 species
GAUGAACGCUAGCGGUAUGCUUAACACAUGCAAGUCGAACGGACUCUUCGGAGUUAGUGGCGGACGGGUGAGUAACGCGUGAGAAUCUGGCUUUGGGUUCGGGACAACCACUGGAAACGGUGGCUAAUACCGGAUGUGCCGAGAGGUAAAAGAGAAAUUGCCUGAAGAUGAGCUCGCGUCUGAUUAGCUAGUUGGUGAGGUAAAGGCUCACCAAGGCAGCGAUCAGUAGCUGGUCUGAGAGGAUGACCAGCCACACUGGGACUGAGACACGGCCCAGACUCCUACGGGAGGCAGCAGUGGGGAAUUGUCCGCAAUGGGCGAAAGCCUGACGGAGCAAUACCGCGUGAGGGAAGAAGGCUCUUGGGGUGUAAACCUCUUUUCUUAGGGAAGAACAAAAUGACGGUACCUAAGGAAUCAGCAUCGGCUAACUCCGUG